CAAUGAAAUGUCUGACUUCGUCAGACGUGAAAUAUGGAACGGCGAUGCCGUUCCAUGUGAAAUAUCGGCUUCGCCGAUGUGAAAUAUUCG
rnacentral:sRNA from 1 species